rnacentral:rRNA from 1 species
UACGGAAGGCAGCAGUGGGGAAUAUUGCACAAUGGGCGCAAGCCUGAUGCAGCCAUGCCGCGUGUAUGAAGAAGGCCUUCGGGUUGUAAAGUACUUUCAGUCGUGAGGAAGGUGUUAAGGUUAAUAACCUUAGCAAUUGACGUUAGCGACAGAAGAAGCACCGGCUAACUCCGUGCCAGCAGCCGCGGUAAUACGGAGGGUGCGAGCGUUAAUCGGAAUUACUGGGCGUAAAGGGCACGCAGGCGGUUAAUUAAGUUGGAUGUGAAAUCCCCGGGCUUAACCUGGGAAUGGCAUUCAAGACUGGUUAGCUAGAGUCUUGUAGAGGGGGUAGAAUUCCAUGUGUAGCGGUGAAAUGCGUAGAGAUGUGAGGAUACCGGUGCGAAGCGGCCCCUGGACAAGACUGACGCUCAUGUGCGAAAGCGUGGGGAGCAAACAGGAUUAGAUACC